UUGCAUGUAGAUACUGUUUUCGGAAUAUCUCAUAUAUUCUUAUCUACCUAAACAUUAUUUUCAAUACUCGCCAACAAUUUAGUAACUCGUGAAAGGCACUAGUGAUAGCACGUGACAUAAAUCAACUCAAAAUGUGUUUAUCUUGUGUCUGCAGUCUUCUAUGCAAAAUCAUCAGUUUAUUCUUUUCUUUAAUAGUCAUAGUGGGUAUAAUCCUACUUAUAUUGUGGGCAACAGGAGUGAUCUUCAAAGAGGACGCUGAUGAAAAUGUGAAUAAUGUAUUAAGAAGCACUCUUCGAUUGGGAAAUGGAGCAUAACAUACAAGAAAAAAGUACGAGAUGCGUGAUAUACCUAAUCUAAGUAUUUAUAAUAGACUUAAUAUUUAAUUUUAAGCGGAUGUAAAAUACUAUUGAUAUGUAAUCGGUGAUAAAAAGUUUUCGCUGUAUUAAAUGAAAUAUAAUGAUAAACUAAUUGCCGUCACUGUCUCUAAUUAGUACAAAUUAAUUAUAAUACUAAUAAAAUCUUAAAACUUAAUUGUUCAAGCAAACGAUUACUAUCAAUGUAACAGAUAUGAUUUUUUGAAAAGAAAAUAGUUAAUUGUGAAGGUAUAAAUAACGAAAUGUAUUUCACCGCUUAAUGUCUAUCUUCCAAUAAUCUUGAUAUUUCCGAUACUUUUUCUUCACAAUUAUUUAAUUAUUAAA